rnacentral:rRNA from 1 species
UACAGAGGGUGCAAGCGUUAAUCGGAAUUACUGGGCGUAAAGCGUGCGUAGACGGUCAGAUAAGUCGGGUGUGAAAGCCCCGGGCUCAACCUGGGAAUUGCACUCGAGACUGUCUGGCUAGGGUGCGGAAGAGGGAAGCGGAAUUUCCGGUGUAGCGGUGAAAUGCGUAGAUAUCGGAAGGAACACCAGUGGCGAAAGCGGCUUCCUGGUCCAGCACCGACGUUCAGGCACGAAAGCGUGGGGAGCAAACAGG